rnacentral:rRNA from 1 species
UACAGAGGUGGCAAGCGUUACUCGGAAUCAUUGGAUGUAAAGGGCAAGUAGGCGGUUUAUUAAGUGAGGGGUGAAAUCUUCCGAUUCAAUCGGGAAACUGCCUUUCAAACUGAUAGACUUGAGGUGGGAAGGGGGAAAUGGAAUUCUCGGUGUAAGGGUGAAAUCUGUAGAUAUCGAGAAGAACACCGGCGGCGAAGGCGAUUUCCUGGUCCCACCCUGACGCUAAAUUGCGAAAGCUAGGGGAGCAAACAGG